AUUGAAACACUAGUUCCUGUAUGAUCACUAAAGUUAAGCAACAUCAAGUAUGGUCAGUACAUAGAUGGGUGGCCGCAUGGGAAUACCAGGUGCUGUAAG